rnacentral:rRNA from 1 species
AUUGAACGCUGGCGGCAUGCCUUACACAUGCAAGUCGAACGGCAGCAUGGAGAGCUUGCUCUCUGAUGGCGAGUGGCGAACGGGUGAGUAAUGCAUCGGAACGUACCGUGUAAUGGGGGAUAACGUAGCGAAAGUUACGCUAAUACCGCAUACGACCUGAGGGUGAAAGCAGGGGAUGGCAAGACCCUGCGUUAUACGAGCGGCCGAUGUCAGAUUAGCUAGUUGGUGAGGUAAAGGCUAACCAAGGCGACGAUCUGUAGCGGGUCUGAGAGGAUGAUCCGCCACACUGGGACUGAGACACGGCCCAGACUCCUACGGGAGGCAGCAGUGGGGAAUUUUGGACAAUGGGGGCAACCCUGAUCCAGCCAUGCCGCGUGAGUGAAGAAGGCCUUCGGGUUGUAAAGCUCUUUCGGCCGGGAAGAAAUCGCACAGGCUAAUACUCUGUGUGGAUGACGGUACCGGCAUAAGAAGCACCGGCUAACUACGUGCCAGCCGCCGCGGUAA